CAACAGAACACGAGGUGGGGUUGGAAAGCCCCGGGUUUCACCGGGCCUAACCGCCCACUUCUUUGCAAACGCGGCACGGUAAGAGCCGCUCUGCCUCGAGGUUCCCCGAUAUGGCCCUUCGUUUGGAUACUGGAACUCCCUUUCCAGCCAGAGCCCCGAGGCCGAGAAUCAGCCGCAGGAGGGGACUGUUCAGCUGCACCUUCAUCUUAAGCAACAUGUGUGCAUUGAUGGAGCUUACCUGGUGCCAAGAGAGUGGUGAAAGGCAUGGAAAUAAGGUUUCCAGUGGAAAGAAUCUCGUCGACCAGCUUGGGACACAUCCUACUCUAACUAAGGGGACAGGUUUUAAAAUUGAAACAUGGUUUCAGGAGGCUUACCCUAUGAAUAGUGUUGGGGGACCACUACCAGGAACAGGUGUCUGCUAUUGAGUGAUGCUGGGCUUCCCUGGUGGCGCAGUGGUAGAAGACCCACCUGCCAAUGCAGGAGACUCGAGUUCAAUCCCCUGGAGAAGGAAAUGGCACCCCACUGCUGUAUUCUUGCCUGGGAAAUCCCAUGGACAGAGCAGCCUGUCUCUGUCCAAGAGGGCUACAGUCCAAGGGUUGGCAAAGACUCGGACAUGACUUAGUGACUAAAUAACAACAACAUAGAGUGAUGCUAUGACCUUUCAUUGGAAGCAUGCUUCUGUAAGAGUUGAGCAUGAGCACACUAUUGUUGAAUGAACGGAUAACUAGGAAGCUUUAAGGCAACCUCGUUAGAGCCCGUACUCUUGUCCCUUUCCCAAACUCCUUCAGUCUCCCAGUUCUAUAAAAACCUGCAAAUGAAGGAAGCAGGAUACACAGUGGUUAUUAGCAUACGUCUGGGUUAAAUUGUCUUAUUUUGGAUCCUGUCCUGGAGGACUUGAGCAAGUGAUGGAACCUACCUGAGCUGCAGGUUUCUCACCUCUAGAAUGGGGAUCAUGAGGAUUAACUAAGAUAACAUGAGUAAAGUGCUCAGAACAAUGCACCUAAUUAUGUUGAAAAAGUGAAGGUGCAGUCGCUCAGUUGUGUCCAACUCUUUUCAAACCCAUGGACUGUAGCCAUGUGUCUCCUGCAUUGUAGGCAGUUUCUUUACUGCUAAACCAUUGGGGAAGCCCUGCAGAUUGGGUCAAAGGAAAGAGAAGCAGAAAGUGGAGUGGGUUCAGAUACCAAACUCAAAUACCAGGCUUCUCUGUCUAUGGGAUUCUGCAAGCAAGAAUACUGGAGUGGGUUGCCAUUCCCUUCUCCAGGAGAUCUUCCCAACCCAGGGAUUGAACCCAGGUCUCCCACAUUACAGGCAGAUUCUUUACCAUCUGAGCCACCAAGGAAGUCCAGUUAUGUUAAGAACAUAAGUUUUAAACAAAAAUUAACUGAUGGAGGGGGCUUCCUGGUGGCCCAGUGGCUAAGACUCUGUGUUCCUAAUACAAGGGGGCUCGGGGUCAAUCCCUGUUCUGGGAACUAGAUCCCACAUGCCACAACAAAGACCCGUUGCAGCCAAAUAAAUAAAUAAAAUAAUUUUUUAAAAGAAUUAGAAAAAGAAAGAAAAUUAACUGAUGGAGCUGAAGUUGACAGGAGCGGAUCCAAAUGUCUUUGAUAAACAGGGCAAAAGAAAGAUGAAUUGUCAGAUGGGCAAGUGGUCAGCUUGGUUCUCCAGAUAUCUCCAGGAACGUGGCCUUUGGAAUAAGAGGUUUGGGGAGAAAAAUAAGCCACGAAGAUCUUAUGGCGCCAACAGGGACUUUAGAGAUCACAGGUCAUAUGCGCCAGUCACACUCCCUUUUGUUCCUAGAGAUUUAAUAUCUACCAGCCUAUUAAAUGGUCAUGAUUUGGAGGAGAGAAGACAAGAAGAGGAAUUACUUUCAGCUGGCCCCGGUCUUUAAAUAACCCGGGGUACAGCAUCUUUCAAACACAAAGGAGACCAUGUGUAAAACAUUAGUUAAAUUCAGAUAUAAAUCUAGUCUUUGACCAGUCCAAAGCUAAUCAAUAUGCUUUUCUACUCUCUUUGAACUUUGCGUUUUCUGGCAACAACGAAAACCCCAAACCCCAUCCAAAACCAUCAUCCAGACAGCCCAACUCCUAUGCUCCCCUCUCUCGUGUCACAUAUUGUUGACAGAACUCCUCUCGUUACCACAUUCAUUCCAGUGGUGAUUCAAAUUCUUCUGCAGAAAUGGACUUGAAAGACAGAAAAUUGCUCUUGUAAUCACUUAAUAAGGAACCCUGGACAAGGAAUACAGGACUAUGAAUAUAGAUUUACUCUUAGCUUUUAUGGACGCAUUUCCCUCGGUUAUUUUCAUUGAAAAUCAUGAUGAACUAAUUUAAAUAGCAAGGUAAACUGAGAUGGAAAAUGAUCCAUAAUAAGAAUUUCGAUGGAAAAUAUAGAUUGGCCUGGUCUUCAGCACAUCAAGGAUUCUCUUGGUUUCAAUUGCAAAUUCGGAGAGAUUUGAAAUGUGUUUGUUUGAAUGUGUCAGUUUUAGGCAGAACUAAACUACGCUGUCCCUUUCCAAAAAUCAAGAAUCUGCCCUGGAAAAAAAUCAUGCAGUAUGAUGUGCAAAGCAGAGGGGGAGGAAAGAAAGUAGUGGGUGAGAAAGACCCACCCAAGGACUGCAGCCAGCUUCCCCAGGAAGAUUCAUGACCACGCUUCAAUCCUGUCCUGUGAUUCUUUCCAAGGGAUUUUACUAUAAAUCACUAAAAGCAACCGCUGCUGUUACCAGAGCUAUCUUUGCCUCAAAAAGAAGAAAAUUCAGGACAUGCAAUAUAAUCCUCUCGCUAUCUAAGAGAGAAACCAGCCCAUUUGUCAUAAGAACUGAAAACACCAGCUAUAUAGUAUAUUAAACAUUAGCGUUUCAUCUUUCAUAAAAGGGGGGGCACGCAUAGGAUGUGAUUGGAUGCAACCAUGAUAAAGGGACUUAAAUUGGAUUGACUAACUAUAACCUACAAAAACCAUUGUAGUACAAAUCCUUUUCAGUAAAAGGUAAGAAAAUUCUAUCAACACUUUUUUUUAACCACUCUGAGCUAUUCACAACAAAUAGAUCCUUACUCUUAGCAGAUGUAUAAGCAUUUAUGUAAUGCAGGGGUUUCAUAACUUGAAGAGUGUCAUCAAAGUCAGAGCUGAUACAGUGUUCCUCCCUUUGACUUGAAUGCCUUCUUCUUCCCUAUAUAGGGUGAUUAUUGCUUCACAGUGUCCCCGGUAUGAAAAGACUUUGAAAGGUCAUUUGCCUUGCAUCCCAACUAGCUGCAUUAGCAUUACCAAGGAGAGGCUGGUUAGAAAUGCACAGUCUUGGGGUCCACCCCAGUCUUACUGGCUCAGCUUCUGCAUUUCGACAGGAUCCCCAGGUGAUUCAUAGGCGUAGUGAAGGUGAAACUGUGCCACCCUAAGCCAUCCUGCUGCCUCUGAGCAAAGCGUGCACAUCGGAAUGGAUAGACUGGUCUGCUUCAGCCAAUUUCAGGUCCUUUAUAGUUUAUCCUGUGUGAGUCAUUGAGAGGAAAGAGGAAAUGCACUCAUUUAAGGAGGUCUUGCUUAGCCUAACAAAGCUAGCAACUUCUUCAAUACAUUCAGGUUCCUAUUCUUGGAAGAACUGCUGCUCUGUGUCCUGUUGCUUGGUCAUGUUGACUCUUUACGACCCUUUGGACUGUAGCCCACCAGGCUCCUCUGUCCAUGGGAUUUUUCAGGCAAGAAUACUGGAGCGGGUUGCCAUAUCAUUCUCCAAGGAUCUUCCUGACUCAGAGAUCGAACCCGAGUCUCCUGUGUUUUCUGCAUUGCAGGCGGUUUCUUUACCGCUGAACCAUUUGGGAAGCCCUGCAGGUUGGGUCAAAGGAAAGAGAAGCAGAAAGUGGAGUAGGUUCAAAUACCAAACUCUAAUAAAGUAAGGGUAGCACAGAAGCUGAGACUGUGAGGGAUGGGGAGAACAGUUUCACCAAAUUACCAGUUCCAAAAUUGUCUCUGCACUGUGGGUGAUUUAUAGCCCUGGAAGCUUAAAGGCUUGAGUCUCUUGCUGUAUUUUAUUUCAGAUUAGGAAUUUUUAUCUAGUACUUUCCUGCAGUUUAAAAUGAAGGCCCUGGAACUACAAAAAUGAAUUUAUCUGGUGGGCUGUGUUCAUUUUGUAGUUAUCCUGUAGGUUUCAGAUUUGUUACAGAACUGGAACUGGACAAUAGAAAAACUCUGUUGGUUAAUGGCAGCCAACUUCUAAACCAAAACUGAAGGACAUAGGAUAAUUAUGUAUAUGUUUCAGUGUCCUCAAAUUUAGCUGCACAUUAGAGUCCCCUAGAUAAAAGGUUUUUACACAGCUUUCUUGAGGUAUAACUGACAUAUAAUAAGCUGUAUAUAUUUUAGGUGUACAGUAGGAAGAAUUUUGAUAUGUUAUACAUCUGUGAAACUAUCACCAUGAUCAAGCUAAUCACCCCUAAAGUUUCCUUGUGCCCCUUGGCAACUCCUCCACCCAUUCUGCGACAACUAAUUGCUUUCUGCCACCAUAGGUUAGUUUCCAUUUUCUAGAAUUUUAAUUUAAUGGAACUAUACUCUUUUUUUUUUUUUUUUGAGGGGGGAGACCUGAUUUCUCUUACUCAACAUAAUUAUUCUGAGAUUCAUCCACAUUGUUGCCUAUAUUACUACUAGUUUGUCCUUUUUAUUGCUGAGUAAUACUCCAUUGUAUGAAUAUACCACAAUUUAUCUUAACCAUUUACCAGUGAAAGACAUUUGGGUUGUUUCCAGUUUUAAACAACUAUGAAUAGCACUGCUAUAAACCUCCAUGAACAAGUAUGAGCAUAUGAGUUUUCAUUUCUCUAGGUAAAUACCUAAAAGUGGGUAUGGUAAGUAUACAUUUAACUCUAAAAGAAACUGCCAAAUUGUUACCCAAAGUGACUGUACAAUACCAUUUUGCUUGCUUACCAGAAAUGUAUGAGUUCCAGUUGCUCCACAUCCUCUCUAGGAAUUGGAUUGGUAUUGUCAGUAUUUCUAACUUUAGCUGUUUGAAUAGAUGUAUAAUUGUAUCUCCAUCGUGGUCUUAGUUUACAUGUUCCUAGUGACUGCUGUGGAGAAGGAAACGGCAACCCACUCCAGUGUUCUUGCCUGGAGAAUCCCAGGGACGGUGGAGCCUGGUGGGCUGCUGUCUCUGGGGUCGCACAGAGUCGGACACGACUGAAGCGACUUAGCAGCAGCAGCAGCAGCAGCAGCAGCAGCAGUGACUGCUGACGUUGAGAAUCUUUUCAUGUGUAUGUUUGCCAUCCUUAUAUCUUUUUUGGUGAGAAUCUUUGAAGUCUUUUGCUUAUUUUUUAAUUGGGUUUUGUUUUCUUAAUUGUUGAGUUUUAAGAGUUCUUUAUGUAUUCUGAAUAUAAGUCCUUUGUCAGAUAUAUGAUUGAUAAAUACUGUCUCUCAAAGGGCAGAAGUUCUUAAUUUUGAUAAGGUUUAAUUUAUAUUUUCUUUAAUGGGUUGUACUUUUGGUGGUAUAACUGACCAAAGAUCACAAAGAUUUUCUUCUAGGUUAUUUUUCUAGACAUUUUAUAAUUUUAGGUUUUAUAUUUAGGUCUAUAAUCCAUUUGGAGUUAGUUUUUAUGUAUGAUGCAAGAUAUGGAAUGAUGUUUACUUUUUGCAUAGGGAUAUUCACUAUUUAUUGAAAUGACUGACCUUUCUCUAUUGAAUUGCCUUUGUACCUUUGUGCAAAAGCCAAUUGACCAUAUAUUUGUGGGUCUUUUCGAAAGUCUCCAUUCUGUUCCACUGAUCUAUCUUUAUACCAAUAUCACAUAGCCUUGAUUACUAUAGCUUUAUUAUUAGUCUUGAAAUCCAACUGUAUUCUUUCUCUAAAUAAGAAGUUUAGAAUUAACUUAAAUUUUACAAUAUUUGUCAACUUCUGGGUUUAAAAAGUCUAAUGGGAUUUUGAUUGGGAUUUGAUUUUAUCAAUCUAUUUGGGAAGAACUUACAGCUUAACAAUUUUAAAUAUCCCAAUCCAAGAACACAGUAUAUCUCUCAUAAGUGUGAUCAUUUUUUAAUCUCUUUUCAGCAAUGUAUUUUCAGUGUACAGGUCUUAUACUGCAUUUUUGAGAUUUAGUUUUAAGUAGUUGAUACUGUUAUGCCCUUGUAAAUGUUUAUGUAAGUUCAGUUUCCAACUGUUUGUUGUAACUAUUUAGAAAUACAGUUGAUUUUUUAAAAUAUUGAUCUUAUGUCCUGCAGCCUCACUAAACUCAUUUAUUAGUCUUAUAGCUUUUUUAGGUUCCAUAGAAUUUUCCACAUAGAUAUUAUGUUUUCGAGAGUAAAGACAGCUUUACUUCUUCUUGUCUAGAGUGGCUUCCUUUUAUAUAUUUUUUCUUGCCUUAUUGUACUUGCUAGAAGCUGUCUAGAGUGGCUUCCUUUUAUAUAUUUUUUCUUGCCUUAUUGUACUUGUUAGAAGCAGUAAAUUGCUAAAUAGAAAUAGUGACAGUGGACAGCCUUGCCUGUACUUGGUCUUAGAGGAAAGAGAGCCAGUCUUUUCCAUUAAGUGUGAUGUUAUCAUUAGGGUUUUCAUAGAUGCCCUUUCGCAAGUUGAGAAGUUCCCUACUUUGCUGAGAGUUGCUUUUUUAAAAAAUCAGAAAUGGAUCUUGAAUUUUGUCAAGUCUGCAUCUAUUGAGCUAUUCUUAUGGUUUUUCUUUUAAGCCUGUUAACAUGGUGAAUUACACUGAUUUUCAAAUAUCAAACUAACCUUGAAAUCUUGAGGUAAAUCCAUUUGUUUACUAUUUAUUAUCAUAUAUAUAUAUAUAUGUAUAUAUAUAUAGUUAGAUUCCAUUUGCUAAAACUUACUUAAGAAUUUUUACAUCUAUACUCAUGAGAUAUCAGUCUCUGCUUUUCUUUUAUUGUAAUGUUUUUGUCUAGUUUUGGUAUCAGAGUAAUUCUAAUCUUAUAGAAUGAGUUGGGAUAUGUUCCAUCCCCAUCCCCUUCAAGUUACUUGAAGUGUUUGUAUAUAGAAUUAAUAUUAUUUCUUCCUUAAAUAUUGGAUAGAAUUCAUCUUGGACUAAAAUUUUCUUUGUGGGAAGAUUUUUAACCACUAACUCAAUUUAUUUAACAGAUGUAGAGCUAUACUGGUUAUCUAUUUUUGUUUGUUUGUUUGAAUAAUAAAUUCUAUCCAAAAAAUUUUAUAUUUCCUCUAAGUUGGUCAUAUUAUUGGCACAAAGCUAUUCUUGAUAUUAUCUUAUAGUAAUUUUAAUAUCUGUAGAAUACAUAGUGAUAUCACCUCUCUCAAUCCUGAUAUUAGUAAUUUGUGUCUUCUUUCUCUUUUUUUCCUGAUCAGUCUGGCUAGAGGUCUAUCAAUUUUACUAAUCUUCUCAAACAACCAGCUUUUAAUUUCAUGUAUUUUUCUCCAUUGUUUUUGUUUUCUGUUUCACUAAUAUCUUCUCUAAUCUUGAUAAUUUACAUUUUCCUGCUUAGUUGAGGUUUAAUUUGCUCUUUUUCUAGUUGCUUAUGGUGGUAUCUAAAGUCAUUGGUUUAAGGCCUUUCUUCUUCUGUACUAUGUUUAGUGGUAUAACUUGCCUAUAAAUAUGUUUUGGCUAAACUUCAGAAAUUUUGAUAUACUGUGUUUUCAUUUAGUUCCAGAUUAUUUCUUAAUUGCCCUUUUGAUUUCUUCUUUGACCUGUAGGUUAUGUAGAAGUGUGCAAAUUCAUUCCCAAACAAUUGGCUACUUUCCAGAUAUCUUUCUGUUAUUAACAUUUAGCUUAAUUCCUCUGUAACAAAAAAACAUUCUUCUGAUUUGGAUAUUUUAAAAUUUCUUAAGACUUAUUUUGUAGUUAGACUAUGGUCUAUCUUGGAAAUUUUUCUGUGUGCUCUUGAAAAGAAUAAGUACGCUGUUAAGUGGAAUGUUCUUAAAAAUGUUAAGUUAAAUUAGUUGAUAGCAUUGCUCAAGUCCUCUGUAUCCUUACUGAUUUUCUAUUGUACAUGUUCCAUCAAUUAGUAAGAGAAAGGUUUUGAAAUCUUCAACUAUAAUUAUAGAUUUGUUUUUUUCUCUUUUACAGUUCUAAAUAUCCCACCACCAAAGCCACACAUGAUAAAAAUCAAUUCAGAACCUCUGGGGGCGUGACCCCAGCCAUCUUUAUGUUUUUAACUCCCCAGAGUGAUUUGGGCUUCCCUGGUGGCUCAAAUGGUAAAGCGUCUGCCUGGAAUGCAGGAGACCUGGAUUUGAUCCCUGGGUCUGGAAGAUUCCCUCGAGAAGGAAAUGGCAACCCGCUCCAGUACUCUUGCCUGGAAAACUCCAUGGAUGAAGGAGCCUGGUAGGCUACAGUCCAUGGGGUUGCAAAGAGUCAGACACGACAGAGCGACUUCACUGGUAGAGUGAUUCUCGUGUGCAGCCAGGUUUGAGAAACGUCGCCUCAUGCAGUCCACAUUGUGAAUUCAACAGAUUCUCAAAUGCAUUAUCUUAUUUAAUCCUCAUGCCUGCCUUUGAGUUAGGCAUUAUUCAUUUCUAUUUUACCUAAAAUGAAAUUAAGUCCUAGACAUUUGUCUAAGAUCACACAGUUGACCAGAAAGCCUAGCUGGGGUUUGAACCCAAAUGACCUAAUUCAUAGUUUAUUCCUUUGAGGUACUUACAUUUUGUUCUGUGAGCUAUGUUUAUUGACUAGAAUUCUAUCUGUAUUUCUAUUCUAUCCCCCUAACACACUCUUUUGGGUUGUGGGCAGAAGUUGUGUCUAACCCAAAACUUAUAAUUUUCACUGGACCUACCACAGUGUCUGUCCCCUGGAGACGAUUCUAAGGUUUUUCUUUUUCCUGUUGAGAGAUCUAAGUAUCUGGGUUCAUGUCACCACAUAGUCAUCCAUCUGCCUUUUUCAUAGUCUAUCCACAAUCUAAGGUUUAAGUCAAGCUGUAAUUAACACUGGCACACAAACUCUUCUCCAGAAACCUUCUCGGGCUGCAGACUGUCAGCCUGCUUCACUCCACUAAUACACAACAUUGGCAGCCUGGGCCCAGAAUUAGCCCUGAGCUACCCAUACAAGUUUGGGGCAAGAUUAUGAGAGAAGAGCAGCCGGGGAUGAAUGGUUUGUUUGAGUGCUUCCAACAGGAGAAGUAAUGAUGAAAGAAGUCCUGCCCAUGCCAACCCCUCAUUUGUACUUGGCUGUCAGGGGUUUCUGGCUGGUCUUUUUCGAUUUGUCAUUAUUUUUUUCCAGAGGUUCUGGGUUUGCCUGCAUGUGUCUGCUGCUAUGUGGAUGCUAUGAUUAAUUAAGUUGGUCAACGAUUAAUAUUUAAAGAUCAGGAGUGAUUUGAAUCAUUCCUCCAGAGGAGUUGCUCAACUGCCUCCAGGGAAAGGGAUUAGCCCCCCCAAAAUGGAUCAUUAAUGUUUUUGAGAUAGUGUGCCUUUCAAAGAGACAGAUACCUCAUAAUUUGUUUCACCAUUCCUCUGCUACUGUCCAUUGUUCAUUGUUUCCAGUUUUCACAGUUAUCAGUGAUUCUCCCAUAAAUAUCUAUAUUCAUAUAAAGAUUUCCUUCCCCCUUCUUUUGAAUUAUUUUAUUUGUAGAAAUUUCCAGGAGUGCUAUUACUAUACAGAAGGGCUUGAAUGAUUUUAAGGGAUUAUGAGCUCUUAAAAAGGCAGUACCACAGAGUUCAUAGCCCAUGUCACAUCUUGAUUAGUUGAAUUAAUUAUGACAAGGAAGAGCCAAGUUAUUUCCUAAAGCAUCACUCACUGUCCAGUCUUAUCCCACAGAGUGGUGUGAGCAGUACUAGAUAAAGGCAUCUCCAUCACCUCAUUCUUUAUUCCACCAAAACUCACCUAAAAAAAAAAAAAAUCCUCACACAUUUUAAGCGAUGAGCUUUUGGAAUAAAUUUAAGGAAUUCCAGAACGAAACCAUGGGACAAAUCAGUGACGCACCUCCUGAGAUAAAUGCUGUCUUAGAAAUGAAAGGAGAGCAUGCAGUGUGCGUGGCAGGGGGGACAGUAGGCAGGGGGGACAGUAGGGCGAGGGUACAGGUCAGAUAUGAUUGGAACGUUGGUGUCACAGUUGUCCCCUGCAAACUGGUUUCUGGGAGCUGGGUGCAGACAGCCUGAGUUGAAAGCCAAACACAGACAGCAGCUGUUGAGGAUGUAAAGUCUCUGGCCAGAGUGGAUAGGGAGAUGGGUGUGGUCACCCAUAGACCAAUUUCCACCCCACCCUACGAGCCCAGUGACAGAGGCUGAGAAGAAAGAACUUCCCGUGUUGCAUUCCAGUGCUCCUUUCUGGGCUUAGUGGGAAUCUUCGAGAAUGCAAGAGACUGGUUGCCAGGCCUGAUUACCCUGCACACACUCCCUCAACUGGGUUCCCCUGACAGUCACCGAGACUCCGGAGAACACCACGACCAGCCACACUGGCCCUGGAUGGCUGCACUGCGCUGGCCAUAGCCCCAGUCUCUGCACCUCAUCUACAUACCGGCACUCAGGAGAUGGAAGCAGAGGAGCAGCACUAGACUGACCUGCCCGAAGAAAUGUUCGACUGCACAAGCAUAGCCUUGGAAGCAGCUUCCUGCCAGGGACAAGUACCUCUUGGUGGAGGCUGGAGCCAUGUCAAUGCUGACCUACUUGUCAGAGUCAAGGCCUGCAUGUGCUGAUGGCACGCAGACUGACACUCUGGGCUCACAGCCCACACGGAGCCAAGAGGGGAGCCUCUUUCACUGAGGUGCCCGUGGUAACAUCAGAAGCUUGCUUCGAAGCCAACACCAGCAAGGCCAUGCGUGUGAGCAGCCCGGUUUCUGAACCUGAUCCUGGCAUUGGUUAGACUCACUAGGGGGAACUCAGAAGUUUUCACCACCUGGAGCUUUCCCAUGGACAGAGGAGCCUAGCAAGCUACAGCCCAUGGGGUUGAAGAGUCACGACUGAGUGACUACACAACAGCUUUCAUGAAGGCUUCAUGUGUGGCUCUCCCAGGAGCUCUGACAGCCUACAGGAAAAGCCACCCACCCCCAUCUCGGAGGCCAACCCUUCUGCGUGGUGGCUAGCAGUGACAAAACCAAGAUGAAUCACCAUAUGUCAGGAUCCAUAAAUUGUGAAAAGUCUAAGCAGCAGGUCUGGGAUGAGAGAUCAAGGCCAAAGAUCCCAAAGAAGUGGCAAUCAGUUGUUCUUGUGGAUGCUCUGAACUGGUGGAGUUAUCCAAAUGCAGAUAUUUAUAUGGAGAUUGAAAAGCAGAGACUUUACUUCGUCGACAAAGGUCCCUAUAGUCAAAACUAUGGUUUUUCCAAUAGUCAUGUAGGGAUGUGAGAAUUGGAUCAUAAAGGAAGCUGAGCAUCAAAGAAUUGACGUUUCUGAACUGUGGCGUUGGAGAAGACUCUUGAGAGUCCCUCAGACUGCAAGAUCAAACCAGUCAGUCCCAAAGGAAGUCAGUCCUGAAUACUAAUUGGAAGGACUGAGGCUGAAGCUGAAGCUCCAAUACUUUGGCCACCUGAUGUGAAGAACUGACUCAUUAGAAAAGACCCUGAUGCUGGGAAAGAUUGAAGGCUGGAGGAGAAGGGGCCUACAGAGGAUGAGAUGGUUGGAUGGCAUCACCGACUCAAUGGACAUGAGUUUGAGCAAGCUCCAGGAGUUGGUGAUGGACAGGGAAGCCUGGCGUGCUGCAAUCCAUGGGGUCUCAAAGAGUCGGACAUGACUGAGCGACUGAACUGAACUGAGAUGAAGAUACUGAGGUUUUUGUUUAAAUAACACAAAGAGCCAUUUUUAUUGGCAGGAGGUGUACCUCUUCCAGAUUAUUGUAAUGUCUCAUUUCCUCUGUUAAUGGUCUGAAUCAAGAAGUUGGGGCCUCAGGACUUGGGUCAAGAGGACUAGAGGAGACUCCCCAUCCAGGAGAUAGAAAGAGCUCCUGCACCACACUGGCAGCUGAAAGCAAAGGAGCAGGAUGCUAGGCAGGAGCCCCUGGAAAGAGUCUAAUGGGGGAAAUUUAGGAGCAGUGAUAUCCAAUAUCCACUUUUACAGGUUUUUUUUCCUGCACUGUAAUUCCCCUCUGUAAUCAUUAAGACUUCAUGAAGUUUGUUAAAAUUGUAGCCUUAUGUUAGCAGCAUCCUGGGAAAUAGAAAGGUUUUCAUAUUUCAUGGUAAGGUAGAUAUUAGAGAGUGACAGCCAGCUGGAAAAGCUGUUAUGAGAUGACUAGAGGUGACUGGGGAAGAAUUCUGGAACAGAGCUGCUCAGUGUAAGGUGACCAGUGGAAACCAGCGUAGAUUGGGGAAUAUGGAAAUACCUGGAAGGAGGCAAGGAAGGUAAUCCAAUAAAGCUGGAAAAAUCUGGAUAAUCUCUCUCUCCAUGUGUGUUUAAACGUGUGUUUGUGUGUCUGCAUACCUAUACAGAAUUUAUAUCCACUUUGGAUUUAUGGCAUAUACUUUUUCCCAUUAUGUCGUGAGCUUUCUUAGUGUCUUUAAAUAUUGUUCAAGUACAUAACAAGUAUAUAAUGAAUAAUGAUCUCUUAAUACUCUAUGAUUUUAUUCUCUUAUUUAACUACUUCCAAUUAUUAGACUUUUUUUCAAUUUUUCACUUUUGUAAGUAACAUUGCAGUGAACAUUCUUACGUAUUCUUCUGUG
ensembl:lncRNA